AUUCCCUUAGUAAUGGCGAAUGAACAGGGAUGAGCUCAGCAUGGAAAUCGGGGUCUCCCGACCUUGAAUUGUAGUCUGUAGAUGUACUGCCAACGGAGGCGCAGAUGUAAGCCUCUUGGAAAAGAGCAUCAACGAGGGUGAGAGUCCCGUUUGUCAUCUGCAGUCCCCCGUGCACGGUGUGCCUUCUAAGAGUCACGUUCCUCGGGAUUGGAGCGCAAAGUGGGUGGUAAAUUUCAUCUAAAGCUAAAUAUUGGUUCGAGACCGAUAGCAAACAAGUACCAUGAGGGAAAGGUGAAAAGGACUUUGAAAAGAGAGUUAAAAGUGCCUGAAAUUGCUGAAAGGGAAGCGAAUGGAACCAGUGUUCUUGAUGAGAUUGUUGCGUACUCUGGUGAUUGCUGGGUGUUCCACCGCAAGGGGGGCAUUUAGUUUUGAGCUAGAUGUGCGUGGUGUUUCUUGUCUUGUGUGUCACCGUCGGUGCACGAGCGAGUAAACCUCCAGGGGGCUGGUAGCUCGACCAUGGUUGAGUGAAUACCUUUGGCAGUACUCAUUUGUGUAUCGAUCCCUGCGUGUCUGGUUGCAGUGUUUGGGUCGCCUGGAAACUUCUGAGGGGCUUGUCCUUGAAGGAGUCCUUCUGGGCGCCCUGAGCAUCUCCCUGACACAAAGACGAU
rnacentral:rRNA from 1 species